UACGUAGGGUGCAAGCGUUGUCCGGAAUUAUUGGGCGUAAAGAGUUCGUAGGCGGUCUGUCGCGUCUGCUGUGAAAACUCGGGGCUUAACCCCGGGCCUGCAGUGGGUACGGGCAGACUAGAGUGCGGUAGGGGAGACUGGAAUUCCUGGUGUAGCGGUGAAAUGCGCAGAUAUCGAGAGGAACACCUGCGGCGAAGGCGGGUAGCUGGGCCGACACUGACGCUGAUGCGCGAAAGCCAGGGGAGCGAACGGG
rnacentral:rRNA from 1 species